rnacentral:rRNA from 1 species
UACGUAGGGCGCAAGCGUUUGUCCGGAAUUAUUGGGCGUAAAGAGCUCGUAGGCGGUCUGUCGCGUCCGUUGUGAAAACUCGAGGCUCAACCUCGGGCUUGCAGUGGAUACGGGCAGACUAGAGUGCGGUAGGGGAGACUGGAAUUCCUGGUGUAGCGGUGGAAUGCGCAGAUAUCAGGAGGAACACCGGUGGCGAAGGCGGGUCUCUGGGCCGUAACUGACGCUGAGGAGCGAAAGCGUGGGGAGCGAACAGG